rnacentral:SRP_RNA from 1 species
GCAGACCCCCCGUGUGGCGUCACCUCACCCAACUCCCCCAGGGCCGGAAGGCAGCAAGGGUCAGUGAGCUCUGACGGGUGCGCGGGGGGUCCUUUCAU